AUUGAUUUUAUGCUUGCAUAAAUGAUUUUUGGAUUCGGAGCGAGUGGCGAACUGGUGAGUAACACGUGGGUAACCUGCCCCGAAGCGGGGGAUAACAUUUGGAAACAAAUGCUAAUACCGCAUAAUUAGUCAGAACCGCAUGGUUCCGACUUAAAGAUGGCUCUGCUAUCACUUCGGGAUGGACCCGCGCCGUAUUAGUUAGUUGGUGAGAUAAAAGCCCACCGAGACGAUGAUACGUAGCCGACCUGAGAGGGUAAUCGGCCACAUUGGGACUGAGACACGGCCCAGACUCCUACGGGAGGCAGCAGUAGGGAAUCUUCCACAAUGGACGAAAGUCUGAUGGAGCAACGCCGCGUGAGUGAUGAAGGGUUUCGGCUCGUAAAACUCUGUUGUUAAAGAAGAACAAGCAUGAGAGUAACUGUUCAUGCUUUGACGGUAUUUAACCAGAAAGCCACGGCUAACUACGUGCCAGCAGCCGCGGUAAUACGUAGGUGGCAAGCGUUGUCCGGAUUUAUUGGGCGUAAAGCGAGCGCAGGCGGUUUUGUAAGUCUGCUGUGAAAGCCCUCAGCUCAACUGAGGAAGUGCAGUGGAAACUACAAAACUUGAGUACAGAAGAGGAAAGUGGAACUCCAUGUGUAGCGGUGAAAUGCGUAGAUAUAUGGAAGAACACCAGUGGCGAAGGCGGCUUUCUGGUCUGUUACUGACGCUGAGGCUCGAAAGCAUGGGUAGCGAACAGGAUUAGAUACCCUGGUAGUCCAUGCCGUAAACGAUGAAUACUAGGUGUUGGAGGGUUUCCGCCCUUCAGUGCCGCAGCUAACGCAUUAAGUAUUCCGCCUGGGGAGUACGACCGCAAGGUUGAAACUCAAAGGAAUUGACGGGGGCCCGCACAAGUGGUGGAGCAUGUGGUUUAAUUCGAUGCUACGCGAAGAACCUUACCAGCUCUUGACAUCUUCUGCCAACCUAAGAGAUUAGGCGUUCCCUUCGGGGACAGAAUGACAGGUGGUGCAUGGUUGUCGUCAGCUCGUGUCGUGAGGUGUUGGGUUAAGUCCCGCAACGAGCGCAACCCUUAUUAUUAGUUGCCAGCAUUUAGUUGGGCACUCUAGUGAGACUGCCGGUGAUAAA
rnacentral:rRNA from 1 species